UACGGGGGGAGCAAGCGUUGUUCGGAUUUACUGGGCGUAAAGGGCGCGUAGGCGGCCACCGCAAGUCGACUGUGAAAUCUCCGGGCUUAACCCGGAAAGGUCAGCCGAUACUGCGGGGCUAGAGUGCAGAAGGGGCAACUGGAAUUCUCGGUGUAGCGGUGAAAUGCGUAGAUAUGUGGAGGAAUACCGAUGGCGAAGGCAGCCUCCUGGGCCAACACUGACGCUCAUGCACGAAAGCGUGGGGAGCAAACAGG
rnacentral:rRNA from 1 species